rnacentral:lncRNA from 1 species
AGCCAUUCUUCUUCUUGGAACCAAGCGUGUCGAAAUUCGGAAGAAACGAAUGAAUGUUAACAUUCAAAAAUGAAAUGCGAUCAUGUACAGGUUAUGAUGCUAAUUACAACGCUUACACGGCUGGUCGUCCCGUAUUUUACACAGGACAAAACCAAAGGUCAAAAUCGGAAGGGGAAAAAAAAAAGAAAUCUGGUGAGCGCCUUCCCACAUGGCCUCGCUAGCUUGGUCCGUGUCCGUGGCUCCCUGGUGUAUCGUUGAAUGAGAUGAAGGAUUGGUCAGGAUGAACGCAGGCUUUGGUUUGAUCGAUCAGCAGCAGUGCGUUCGUGGGUUGCGGCCCGACUUGGCGCCGCGCAGCAACUGCGUGACCAUCCCGAUGCCGCUCCCCAGCCAGCCUGAUCCCGUCGUCCCGGCGCUGCCCUCCAGCGGCCGCGCCGCCGCUGCCAGGACGCACAGGACUUGCGCCAGGAGCACGAGCAGCAACACCGUCCUCGCCGUCAUCGCCAUUCGUCGCCCUUGCCUUGUCGUCGUACGUGCAGGCGGCUAGAAAAACUCAACGUCAGAGUCGUCGUCAGAGACCAAACAGAGGGAGCUUUGCUUGGUUCUUGAGAAUCGUGG